rnacentral:rRNA from 1 species
GAUUUCUGGCUUGUACCACUUUGCCGGCCGCGGUUUCGCGUGUUAGUGCUUUGUGUUCUGGCCAUCCUUCCAAUCGCUAUUCACCUUUCUUCAUUGAUGGGUGAGUGGUAUUGGAUCUUUUACUUUGAAAAAAUUAGAGUGUUUCAAGCAGGCUUUAUGCUAUGAAUACAUUAGCAUGGAAUAAUAAUUUAGGACUUCGGUUCUAUUUUGUUGGUUUCUAGGACUGAAGUAAUGAUUGAUAGGGAUAGUUGGGGGUGCUAGUAUUCAGCGGCCAGAGGUGAAAUUCUCGGAUUCGCUGAAGACUAACUUAUGCGAAAGCAUU